UCCAAUUAAAGCAACCAUCCUCCCCUAUCGUGUGCGCUUAGGCUCAGGCCCCGAAAUGGCCCUGGAGUCGCGUUCCGGGUGCGGGAAGUGGCGAGGUGGUCCGGCUGACCGAGCCAUCACCUCGCAUGGAUUUUUAUUAAUUAGUUUGUAAUUUUCAAGUGCCGCAGAGGAUCCUGAGGACCCCCCAGCUGGCUUCCUGACAUCGGCAUGGGCCCGGGAAGACCCCUGGAGGAGAAGCCAUAAAUCCAGGACUCUUCAGAGGAUCGAGGGAGGAUGGACCACGUGUCCUCAACCAUCCUGGACAAUUUGAUCCCCCAGACGUGGAGGAGUUUCUUGGUGUCGUUCAUGUAUGGUGUUGGAUAUUCGUCGUAGGUGAAGACCGUUUAGGGUGGGAGAAACUCGAGGACCAAUAGGAAUUGACUAGUUCGAGUGGAUUUCAAAAAGGGAGGAAAAGGGCCUGCAUGAAUCAUGGGGUCGAAGGAAAUAGUCUAAGGACUAUUUGAAGGAAACCACUUCGUCCCGUGGGAACUGAUUCGUACACAGGACGAUGAAGCAUUUGAGUAAACAAUCUGAGAAGGUUCCGAGGAGUUCCAGGAGUAUCGAUGGAGUCUCCCGAGACCAAUGGGCCCGAAGGAAGACCCAUCGAACCCUUAGAACCCCACAUCGGAGGGAUCGGAAGGAUUGCCCCGAUGUCUCGACGGAAGAAAUUAUUAUUUAAGGUAGAGUAAAUAAUAUCGUUCGUUCUCCCUUAACUAGGGAAUUAAUUAGAACGAUUUAUGAGUUUCAGGUGGAGUCUCCCAGCUGGUGGGAGAAUGUCAAGGAAGCCGAAAAGUGGUAUAAUCGUGAUUUGAAGUGGCUCUCAGAUGGCCUCUUGUUUCCUGAGGGCCUGAAGUUUGCCACAGAUCGAUGACAGGGAAGUGGCAUUGAAAUUCAGCUCGCCUUGUCAACAAGUGGCCGAAUCUAUGAUCAUCAUCAGGGCGUAAUGUUGCCACGCUUGGCCCGAUUGGUCACAAAAUCGAGGGAUCUGGGUAAAAUAGACGUCCCUGAUUGGCGGGAGCUGGUCCAUGCUGGCUGCGCUCCCCUCAGGAUCCGAGGAUGGACCUGGACGCCGGCUGCAGUAUGUCCACUGAACAGAUGAUCCAUAGGAUAUAUGAGCACUUAUGGUUGGACUAUCAGGCACACUUCCACCGCCGGGGAAAUGAAAUUAAUCCAGGAAUUAACGGAACUAGCAGAGUAACUUAAGGUGAAGUGAAACACGUCGAGGAACUUGAUCAACGUCGAUAAAGAUCUUUCUAAA